CUCAACCGCUUGAUCUCACAGCGCAGGAAAUAACUAGCCUUUAGCAUUGAUCUGGAAAAAAUUUUCACGACACCUAUUUAAUACGAUGGAUUUUCCCCUCAUCUGCAGGAUCUGUGUCCAAUUUUUUAGCGCACUUGAAAAAUGGCACAGGAAGUGCUUAAGAAGUGCACUAUGACUGGCCAGCCACAAAUAUGCGGUGAGCUGCUUUUAGGAUCGAGACAGAUCUAAAUAUGGAAAGAACACAAAUAAUGAAGUGCAGCUGGGUUUAGCUCCCAUGCGAUGAGGUGCUAUUGUUGCUGGGACAUUUCUUGAGGUUUUUAUUCUGAGAAACAGAUCAAAAUGGGUCUCGUACCACACCUUCAUUAGCACAGGUCUCCGAUCCGCAUACCCUUUAACUCGGUAGAGAAACCGGAUCUCCAGAUGCUCUUAUCCAGCACUGUCUGGGCGAGAGGAUGACGAGAGGCUCUCAAGCGCUGAGGGAGGAAGGACAUCUGUGUGGGGUUCAGUGCGACCCAUGAUUAAUAGAGUAAAGGUGAGGGGAGGCUACACCUUUGGCUCACUGGAUCUUAAUGGUGAGCAUGAGCUAUUCCCAUCGGAGCCUCCAUGAAAACCACCGCAAAGACAUACAACAUCUAAUGAGGGCAGGACUGGAGUCCAGGUUCAGGCUGUGAUGUAAUUCUGGCAUGAUCAAAACCUUCCAUAGAGCUUCUAUGGUGCAAAUUGACACACUGGGCCUGGAAAACUGCGCCUAGAUGGACAUUUUAAAACAAGACUUAAAAUGGCAUGAAAACAUGCUCUUUGGAAGUUUUUGGUUUUGUCUUCUCCAGAUGUUAACUGAUGGACUGGAGUGCUGUGGAUUACUUGUGGAUUAUUGUGAUGUUUUUAUCAGCUGUUUGGACUCUCAUUCUGACGGCACCCAUUCACUGCAGAGCAUCCAUUGCUGAGACACUGAUGCAAUGCUACGUUUCUACAAAUCUGAUGAAGAAACAAACUCAUCUACAUGUCGUAUGACCUGAGGGUGACUACAUUUAAAUGCUCAUUUUUGGGUGAACUAUUCCUUUAAAGCAUGAUACAAGCUGAGUCAUGAGGAAUCUGAACCCCUUGAACAUGCACAGCAAAACACUGACAUUAAAAUAGAGCUCAGCUCGUGCAUAUAAUCAAAGGCAUGCACUGCUCCAUCCAACAAUCUGCCGUGUGCCUUCAGGAGCAGCUCAUCGACCGUCCAAAACCGCAGACCUGAUCUAAACAACAAAUUUUCAUUAGCAGAGUCACAACAAAUCUGGCCGUGGAUCCAGUCCCAGCGUAUACGAGCCGCUCCAUUCUGUUAUCGUGAACCGCCCAAAACACUCUGAGCUGAAACAGCUGUGAAGAAUUGAGAUUUCCACACUGGGCUGGAGAAACAGAUGCAAGUUCUGCUGCAGGUACAGUAGAGGUUCUGGCCAGCGGAAACAAUCGUGUGUUUGUGCCCUUGAACCUGUUUUAAAGGAUCACGCUUAUCAGUUCAGUUAUGAGCGGAUUACCGUAUGCAAUAUGAGAGCCUUCACUGUUCAGCAGCUACUUGUGUGUGUCAACCGGAGAUUUAGGACAACGUUGUUAUUAUACUGACUGAAGAAUCUGACCAAAGUAAAAUGCUACAAAUAUCUAAACAUUCAUCUUCUGCAAAAUGAGAUUUUUAUUAAACUCUGUUUCUCCUGGACUGCACAAUUAAUUCGGAUUCAUUAUGCUUUCAAAAGGUCAUGCAAACAGAAAAAUGAAAACACUUUAACUGUGCCAAAUCAUUUCUAGUUAGAUGGUAAAAAAUUAUUUUUCAAAGCUGUAAAUAAGAUUACUGGGGUAUGUUUUUCAAGAAAAUACUAUUUUAUUCUUUUUACUUCAAAAUGUCAUAUAUAUAUAUAUAUAUCUCCUCAUACAUAAUGUGUUACUUGCCAUUUCUUUGUCUUUUUAUUUAUUUAUUUAUUUAUUAACUUACUUAUUGUAAGAUUUACUAGUAAUUUCUAAGUGAAAAUGUUUCAAAGUAAAUCACUACACUGUAAAAAAAAAUUGAAUACAUUUUACAACAAAAUAUUUCAGUCAUUUUACUUAAAAAUCUUACAUGCAAUUCAAUGAGUUACUUGCUGUUUGAAUAUUAUAUAUUUUUGAAGUUAUAAAUAAAAUAAAGAUUAUUGUCUAGCAUAAAAAAAAUUAUAUUUCAGGUUUUCUAAAAUUUCACAUUUAAUUCAUUGUGUUACUUGCCGUUUGUUUGUAAUUAUAUGUGAAAUUUACCAGCAAUUUCUGAGUGAAAAUUGUUUCAACACGGGAGGAAAAAUUCCAAGUUGUAAAUAAAACAAAUAUAACUGGAGUAGGUUUCACAAGAAAAAUACUAUUUCAGUCUUUCUGCUUUGACAUUUCAUGUUUAAUCCAAUGGGUUACUUGCAAUUAUUAUUAUUAUUUUUUUUAAAUGUAACCAUUUGUGAGUGAAAAUUAUUUAAACAAUAAAUAAAGAUUAGAGUAUGUUUUACAAGAAAAUACUAUUUCAGUCUUUCUAAUUGACAAUUUCAGGUUUAAUCGAAUGUGUUUUGCUGUUUCUUUGUAAUUAUUUGUGAAAUUUAGUAAUUUGUGCUCAUAUGAACACAUGCAAAAUGUAUCUGUUGUUUUGAUAAUGAGCUUUCAUUCUCACCAGAGCAACCAUGCAUUAGUUCUUAAAUCUGAAAGUGCUGAAAGUGAAAGUUCAAAAGAGGCUUUUCUUGAAAACUCCCGUCGAACCGCGAGAUUGCCGUCUCUGUCUUUCUCUAUAAAGUCACACUAGAGCACAGCGCUGAUAGUGAGAAGGUCGACGACGAGUAAGAACGCAGCAUCAGUGCCAGCGAGGGCUGAUAACAGCCGAGACGGAAGACGGGCCUCCUCAUCCAUCACAGAGAGAGCGUUUGACCUCCUGAUCAUUAAAAACUUCAGCGCACAAAUGUGAACGGGAAGCAGAAGACACACAAGAAG
ensembl:lncRNA